UACGGAGGAUGCGAGCGUUAUCCGGAUUUAUUGGGUUUAAAGGGUGCGUAGGCGGAUCGUUAAGUCAGUGGUCAAAUUGAGGGGCUCAACCCCUUCCCGCCAUUGAAACUGGCGAUCUUGAGUGGAAGAGAAGUAUGCGGAAUGCGUGGUGUAGCGGUGAAAUGCAUAGAUGUCACGCAGAACCCCGAUUGCGAAGGCAGCAUGCCGGCUUCCGACUGACGCUGAAGCACGAAAGCGUGGGGAUCGAACAGG
rnacentral:rRNA from 1 species